UCUCGUGCUGCUUUUAUAACUUGUUUUGUCUUGCUUUUUAUCAAUUGUACGUCAGAACAACCCACUGAUUAACUGAUAGUUUAUUCCCUUGGCCUUGUUUUAUUUGCAUACUAUUUAUAGUUUGUGUUUUCUUCUACACCUGUGAAAACAGCUGAACGUCUCACAGGGGCCUGGCUAAAGAAUCUUGCUAUUUGAGUGGAUAAACUCUUGAUAUGAGAAAGUGAAUUUAAUUUACUUUGUUAUUUUCUAAUACAUGUUUCUAAAACAUAUUGUUUUAUGUGAAUUUAGAUUAAUUUUUAAUAACCUGGUUGCUGAAUUACAAACUUUGUAAUAUUUUAUUGUUACUUUAUGUAAUGGUAUAUGUCCAUCAGAUGUUGUUGUAGUGUGCCUGGUCUUAAUCACAACAUUUGUCUUCCUGAAUAAUAUAGGUUUGACUUUGACAUGUGAUUGUCAAAGAGGAAUCUACCAAUUGGAAUAUAUACCAAUUAGCUUUUUCUUUACCCAACAGAGAAGGAAAGUACUGAAUUGGUUCUUUGCUCACUUCACUGAAAUGUAAGGCAGGUGUCUGCAGAACUGAAAGUGCAGAAAUUUCUAGUAGCAGUAGGGUUGUACAAAUACUCCAUGUAAUUCAGCUGCUGAUUCUUAUACAUUCUCUAAUUUCAUCAGGUGUGGAUUGGAGAUGCAACUUAAUAGGUGAACAGGUACAGGAUAAGAAGAUAAAAUAAUAGAAGUGACGAGUUCAAAGGUGAAUUGCUGAAACUUCUCUCAAGUUUGAAGAACCUGGUAAUUGUUAUCCAAUGAGGAAAAUGAGAACAGGUCAUGAUGUUCAAUACCACCCUGUCACUGAAUAACAAGCUUCUGGAACCUGAACUAAGAGAUUUUGUCAUGCAACAAAAAUGACUACUUUGGCUUACUAGAAAUAAUUCUGGAUCAAGUUAAGGAUUUAUGCAGAAGAAAAGGACCAAAGAACCACAGAAAACAGUGGGAACAGAGAUUGGAAGUUAGAGUAUUCCAGACCUACUAAGAAAAAACAGCAUAAUGAAAACUGAAGACCUUGGAUGAUAAUAAAAUAACUGGGCUGGUAAAAACUCAACUGAUGGAGCUCUCAUGUGGAACAUAUUGUGUCUACAAUGUUACAGAUACAGCUCUAGGAAAUGUAGCAAAGGCAGAAGAAACAGAGAUCCUGGUGGACUCUGGUCAAGGCACUGAAUGACGGAGAAAAUCUGUUCUUAAUCUCUCUGGAAUUGUUCUCUCUGUUAAAGAAGAUGCUGUCAUUUGUUAAUCCUGGCUCUGAUUUAUUCCUACCCAUAGAAGUAUUUUGUACUGAAGAUGUGGCAAUGGCAUAUGUGGCAAUACACAUACCUCUGUUCCAGAGGCAAUCCAAUCCAUUUAACUGUGUCCUAUCUCUGAUCUCUUUGAUUCAGACUUUUUUUUUCAACCUUUUUUCCCCCCUUGAAACACAAUUUAGUUAUAAUAUAGGAAAGCUACACUUUUAAUGACUAAAAGAAAUAUAAUUUUCCU